GGACUACUGGGGUUUCUAAUCCCGUUCGCUCCCCUGGCUUUCGCGUCUCAGCGUCAGUAAGGGUCCAGGAGCUCGCUUUCGCCACGGGCGUUCCUUCCGAUCUCAACGCAUUUCACCGCUCCACCGGAAGUUCCAGCUCCCCCUACCCCCCUCCAGGAAGGUCGUAUCGGUGCCCGUUCCCCGGUUGAGCCGGGGGAUUUCAGCAACCGACGUGCCCUCCCGCCUACACGCGCUUUAAGCCCAGUGAUUCCGAAUAACGUUCGCACGGUUCGUCUUACCGCGGCUGCUGGCAC
rnacentral:rRNA from 1 species